rnacentral:rRNA from 1 species
AUUGAACGCUGGCGGCAGGCCUAACACAUGCAAGUCGAGCGAGCGGCGGACGGGUGAGUAAUGUCUGGGAAACUGCCUGAUGGAGGGGGAUAACUACUGGAAACGGUAGCUAAUACCGCAUACCAUCAGAUGUGCCCAGGUGGGAUUAGCUAGUAGGUGGGGUAACGGCGCACCUAGGCGACGAUCCCUAGCUGGUCUGAGAUGAUGACCAGCCACACUGGAACUGGUACACGGUGCAGACUCCUACGGGAGGAAGCAGUGGGGAAUAUUGCACAAUGGGCGCAAGCCUGAUGCAGACAUGCCGCGUGUGGGAAGAAGGCCUUCGGGUUGUAAAGCACUUUCAGCGGGGAGGCGUUACCCGCAGAAGAAGCACCGGCUAACUCCGUGCCAGCAGCCGCGGUAAUAC